rnacentral:rRNA from 1 species
UACAGAGGUGGCAAGCGUUGUUCGGAUUCACUGGGCGUAAAGGGUGCGUAGGCGGUCGGGUAAGUCUGACGUGAAAUCUUCAAGCUCAACUUGGAAACUGCGUCGGAUACUAUUCGGCUAGAGGAAUGGAGGGGAGACUGGAAUACUUGGUGUAGCAGUGAAAUGCGUAGAUAUCAAGUGGAACACCAGUGGCGAAGGCGAGUCUCUGGACAUUUCCUGACGCUGAGGCACGAAAGCCAGGGGAGCAAACGGG